UGGGGAAUAUUGCACAAUGGGGGAAACCCUGAUGCAGCAACGCCGCGUGAGUGAUGACGGUCUUCAGAUUGUAAAGCUCUGUCUUUGGGGACGAUAAUGACGGUACCCAAGGAGGAAGCCACGGCUAACUACGUGCCAGCAGCCGCGGUAAUACGUAGGUGGCGAGCGUUGUCCGGAUUUACUGGGCGUAAAGGGAGCGUAGGCGGAUUCUUAAGUGGGAUGUGAAAUACCCGGGCUCAACCUGGGUGCUGCAUUCCAAACUGGGAAUCUAGAGUGCAGGAGGGGAGAGUGGAAUUCCUAGUGUAGCGGUGAAAUGCGUAGAGAUUAGGAAGAACACCAGUGGCGAAGGCGACUCUCUGGACUGUAACUGACGCUGAGGCUCGAAAGCGUGGGGAGCAAACAGGAUUAGAUACCCUGGUAGUCCACGCCGUAAACGAUGAGUACUAGCUGUCGGAGGUUACCCCCUUCGGUGGCGCAGCUAACGCAUUAAGUACUCCGCCUGGGAAGUACGCUCGCAAGAGUG
rnacentral:rRNA from 1 species